rnacentral:rRNA from 1 species
UGGGGAAUUUUGGACAAUGGGCGAAAGCCUGAUCCAGCCAUGCCGCGUGAGUGAAGAAGGCCUUCGGGUUGUAAAGCUCUUUUAGUCGGAAAGAAAGAGUUGCAAUGAAUAAUUGUGAUUUAUGACGGUACCGACAGAAAAAGCACCGGCUAACUACGUGCCAGCAGCCGCGGUAAUACGUAGGGUGCGAGCGUUAAUCGGAAUUACUGGGCGUAAAGGGUGCGCAGGCGGUCUUGCAAGUCAGAUGUGAAAGCCCCGGGCUUAACCUGGGAAUUGCGUUUGAAACUACAAGGCUAGAGUGCAGCAGAGGGGAGUGGAAUUCCAUGUGUAGCAGUGAAAUGCGUAGAGAUGUGGAAGAACACUGAUGGCGAAGGCAGCUCCCUGGGUUGACACUGACGCUCAUGCACGAAAGCGUGGGGAGCAAACAGGAUUAGAUACCCUAGUAGUCCCUGAGCGGGCUGGCAAGGCGCAU